AGCCUUCCUCCUUUUUCCUUAUUCUUUUAUUUUGGUCACAUAAACCAAAACCCAUUUGCAUUAUCUACUCAUUUGAAAGAACUCAAACAAAGUAGCCCAUGUCUUCUUCUUUGUCUCGCAAUUUUUUCUCUGAAAAUGGCUAAUCAAUGUUGAAAUUCUUCAACAAACAAUCAUUCAUCUUCUACAUUUGAGUUUCGUAAGCCUUCGAUUUUGAGGGAACAAGACAGCAGCACAUGAUAUGUUUUAUGACUCAAAUGAAUACAACAACACAACCCCUGGUUUGGCUCGACAACAACGGGUUUCUUGCCUUCUCUUGAUUCGAAAAAUCAGCAAUUGUUUUUGGUCUCUAGUUACUAAAAAUCUAUAGAGAUCGGUACCAAUCGGGAACGAUAAAUGAAGAACUGAUUAGAGUAUGCGUGGAAGAUAUGUUGGAUUAGUGUAUGUAUUGGAGUUAUAGUGUCCGUAUUGGGCUUUAGUGUGUUGUAGAUUUGAUUAUGUUGACAAUUAUGGACUUUGAUUUAGAUGUUUGGUUUUGAGAUUAGUUAUUACAAUUAAGUUUAGGUCUUGUGAUAUUUUUUACGAGUAAUUAUUUGAGAUAUGAGUUCUUUGGGUUAGUAAAUCCCGUAAUGACCUGUCUUAUUUGGUCAACCGAUAAGUCAAGUUGUUACAUUUGCAGCCUUUGAAAGAAGGAAAAUAAUGGCACAUAAUCAAUUAGAGGAAGAACUCCAAAGGGGAUAUAAUCAAUUAACGACGGAUAAUUACAAUGCAUAUAUGCGACAGCCGACAAAUAGCACAAGAAAGAAAACAAUUUGUGUUAAGUUUCAAUCACAUUUUAAUCAAUAGCACAAGAUAGAUACAACCAAGGCUUAGAGCAGAUGAGGUGUUCUAUCAAAUAGGUGCAGCUGAAGCUCAGUGCAGAUGAGCUAUGCUAUCCUGUUUACACCUACAACUACAACCAAGUCCAAGCUUCCAAUUCACACAAAAACAAUUACAUCAGAGUAUUUUGUUCUCAUGUUUGCAGAUGUCAUGAGGAACACGUGCUUAUAGUUAGUUGUGCAAUAGGAAGGUUGUUAGUCUAAUCAGAUUGUAUAAGUUGUUAGCAAAGUUGUUAGGAGGUAGUUAUAGGUGUAACUAAGUCUUGUAUUGAAGGGGUCUGUCUAUAUAUAGACUUUCCUUACCUAUUGUAAAGAUUAAUCUUUCUGUACUGAAUAAAAUGAAUUUCUUCUUGA